UUUAUGGAGAGUUUGAUCCUGGCUCAGGACGAACGCUGGCGGCGUGCUUAACACAUGCAAGUCGAACGGAAAUAAAGGAGCUUGCUCCUUUAAAUUAGUGGCGAACGGGUGAGUAACACGUGGGCAACCUGCCCCUGACUCUGGGAUAACUACUCGAAAGAGUAGCUAAUACCGGAUAUGAAACCUGAAGACAUCUUCGGGUUUGGAAAGUUUUUCGGUCAGGGAUGGGCCCGCGGCCUAUCAGCUAGUUGGUGAGGUAGUGGCUCACCAAGGCGACGACGGGUAGCCGGCCUGAGAGGGCGACCGGCCACACUGGGACUGAGACACGGCCCAGACUCCUACGGGAGGCAGCAGUGGGGAAU
rnacentral:rRNA from 1 species